rnacentral:tRNA from 1 species
AUUUAUAUAAUAUUAUUAGUAUAUUUAACUUCCAAUUAAAAAGUUUGUAUAAAAUCAAUAUAAAUA